rnacentral:rRNA from 1 species
GACGAACGCUGGCGGCGUGCUUAACACAUGCAAGUCGAACGGGCCUGUCUUCUUUUUUGGGGGUGGGUUGAGUGGCGAACGGGUGAGUAUCACGUGAGUAACCUGCCCUUCGGUCCUGGAUAACCGCUUGAAAGGGCGGCUAAUACGGGGUGGUCCGGUUGGUCCGCAUGGGCUGGUCGGGAUAGAUUCACUGUUUUUGGUGUUUCGGCGGGGGAUGGGCUCGCGGCCUAUCAGCUUGUUGGUGGGGUGAUGGCCUACCAAGGCGGUGACGGGUAGCCGGGCUGAGGGGGUGGGCGGCCACACUGGGACUGAGAUACGGCCCAGACUCCUGCGGGAGGCAGCAGUGGGGGGUAGUGCACAAUGGGCGGAAGCCUGAUGCAGCGACGUCGCGUGAGGGAGGGAGGCCUUCGGGUUGUGAACCUCUGUUUCCGGUGGUGAAGGCCCUGUCCGUGUGGUGGGGUUGACGGUAGCCGGGGAUGAAGCGCCGGCUAACUACGUG